rnacentral:tRNA from 1 species
UCCCUGUGGCUCAGAUGGUAAAGAAUCUGCCUGCAAUGCAGGAGACCCAGGUUCAAUCCCUGGGUAGGGAA